AUUGAACGCUGGCGGAAUGCUUUAAACAGGCAAGUCGAGCGGCAGCGCGGGGGCAACCCUGGCGGCGGGUGGCGAACGGGGGAGUAAUGCAUCGGAAGGUAUCCUCGAGGGGGGGAUAACCCAGCGAAGGUGGGGCUAAUACCGAAGGAGCUCGGAGGAGGAAAGCGGGGGACCUGGGAGGGCCUGGCGCGGGGGGAGCGGCCGAUGUCCGAUUAGCUAGUUGGUGGGGUAAAGGCUUACCAAGGCGACGAUCGGUAGCUGGUCUGAGAGGAUGAUCAGCCACACUGGGACUGAGACACGGCCCAGACUCCUACGGGAGGCAGCAGUGGGGAAUUUUGGACAAUGGGGGCAACCCUGAUCCAGCCAUGCCGCGUGAGUGAAGAAGGCCUUCGGGUUGUAAAGCUCUUUCGGACGGAACGAAAUGGGCGGGACUAAUACUCCUGUCUGAUGACGGUACCGUAAGAAGAAGCACCGGCUAACUACGUG
rnacentral:rRNA from 1 species